AAGUCGUAACAAGGUAACCGUAGGUGAACCUGCGGUUGGAUCAUUAACAAAUAAUUUAGGCCCCUGGCUGCCUCAAAAGGGCGAAGGGGGAAAACCUAAACAUUUGUGUGCACCAUAUCUGUCCUUGGCAGUUCGAGUGUCCUGGGUCGCGUAACUGCCUCAGGUACCUACCGAGGCUUUCCUCUCGGGGUUUGCCAAAGUUGGGCUGCCGCUUCUAGAACAAACCUUUUGUAAAUUAUUUUUGCCUGAAUUUGUUUGAUCUUUAUGAUUGAAUUUAAAUACAACUUUUGACAACGGAUCUCUUGGCUCUC
rnacentral:misc_RNA from 1 species